CCGGACCUGCUCCAGCUCGAAGAUAGUGUAGGGGCGGGUGGAGCGGUGCCCAGGCAGGGCUGGGCCCACAGGAGUCACCGGGAUAAAUCUGGGCAGGGGCAGAGAGAAGAGGACGGUUGGAACAAGAGAAAUCCCAUUCCUAAAGCCAGGACUCCACAGUCUACGUGCCCGAGGAGCCUUCCCGUCCAGGCUGUGGCAGAGGGAAGGACGGAGGUGAGGCCUGUGGGAAUGGACCCGGGGGAGAGGAGCCGAGGAAGGACAAGUGUUGGAGGCAGGCAGGGAACAGAGGAGGCGCAGCACAGCUGUGCCCGCCCCCGUGACAGCCACCAGCUGGGGUUGGCCAGGUGUGGGCACUCACUGUCCAGUCACAGCUGUCUCCAAGGGCCGGUCACAAGAGAGGCAGUGGAAAUGUGCCAAGAGCUGCCUGUGAGGAGUGGGAUACACGCAGAGGUGCAGGAGGAACCAGCCUAAGAUGGAAGAGCUUUUCAAGCUCUCAGAUUCUGUCCCUGCAGCUACGGGAUGGUCCAGUGGGAUCAGCCUCUCCCCCAGGGCACACUGCGCUCGCUGGUGGGGACCCCCCUCCCAGCCCCCCGCUGUGGUCCGCACCCCACCUCCGCAUGGCCGCCGCCUCGUCCGCCUGGUAGAGGGGAGAGCGCUCCUUGAGCUGCUGGCGCAAGGACUUCCAGCGGUCUUCCAGCAACUUCUUCACGGGGUCCAGCUCCAGGCGGUCCAGCUGUGGGUGGCCGUGGGAGCUUGUCCAGCAUCUUCUGCCAGUCCUGCUCGUGGUCGCUCAUCUUCGCCACCAGCUCCUGCAUCAUGUGGUUCAGCUGCUCUGUGG